CGCAGGUAUAGCCGGCUGGCCCGGACUCCCUUGGGACUGGGGCGACUGCGCAUGCUCGCUGGCCGCGCUGGGCCGGUAGCCGAGCCGCGGUGACGAACCGGCUCCGCGGUUGCGGUGUUUGCGGUUGCUGUGAUGGCGAUGUGAGGGGGCCCGGGGCGGGAUGGUGCUGACCCGGGUAGGGCCGUCUUCUUCCAGCUGGACAACGAGCUCCUCCGUCCGACAGGUGGGGGAAGAGGCCGACCCAGGCGAGAGGUUUGAAGAUCAACUGGAUUAUGUAUUUCGUUCUGGAAUCUCAAAGCAGUCCACAAACAAAUUCUUCCUUACGUUGUCUGUGUCAGGGGGAACGGUGUAUUUUUAA
rnacentral:lncRNA from 1 species